rnacentral:rRNA from 1 species
AAAUUGAAGAGUUUGAUCAUGGCUCAGAUUGAACGCUGGCGGCAGGCCUAACACAUGCAAGUCGAACGGUAACAGGAAGCAGCUUGCUGCUUUGCUGACGAGUGGCGGACGGGUGAGUAAUGUCUGGGAAACUGCCUGAUGGAGGGGGAUAACUACUGGAAACGGUGGCUAAUACCGCAUAACGUCGCAAGACCAAAGAGGGGGACCUUCGGGCCUCUUGCCAUCAGAUGUGCCCAGAUGGGAUUAGCUUGUUGGUGAGGUAACGGCUCACCAAGGCGACGAUCCCUAGCUGGUCUGAGAGGAUGACCAGCCACACUGGAACUGAGACACGGUCCAGACUCCUACGGGAGGCAGCAGUGGGGAAUAUUGCACAAUGGGCGCAAGCCUGAUGCAGCCAUGCCGCGUGUAUGAAGAAGGCCUUCGGGUUGUAAAGUACUUUCAGCGGGGAGGAAGGUGUUGUGGUUAAUAACCGCAGCAAUUGACGUUACCCGCAGAAGAAGCACCGGCUAACUCCGUGCCAGCAGCCGCGGUAAUACGGAGGGUGCAAGCGUUAAUCGGAAUUACUGGGCGUAAAGCGCACGCAGGCGGUCUGUCAAGUCGGAUGUGAAAUCCCCGGGCUCAACCUGGGAACUGCAUUCGAAACUGGCAGGCUUGAGUCUUGUAGAGGGGGGUAGAAUUCCAGGUGUAGCGGUGAAAUGCGUAGAGAUCUGGAGGAAUACCGGUGGCGAAGGCGGCCCCCUGGACAAAGACUGACGCUCAGGUGCGAAAGCGUGGGGAGCAAACAGGAUUAGAUACCCUGGUAGUCCACGCCGUAAACGAUGUCUACUUGGAGGUUGUGCCCUUGAGGCGUGGCUUCCGGAGCUAACGCGUUAAGUAGACCGCCUGGGGAGUACGGCCGCAAGGUUAAAACUCAAAUGAAUUGACGGGGGCCCGCACAAGCGGUGGAGCAUGUGGUUUAAUUCGAUCCAACCCGACGAACCUUACCUGAUCGUGACAUCCACGGAUGUAUUCAGAGAUGGAUUUGUGCCUUCGGGAACCGUGAGACAGGUGCUGCAUGGCUGUCGUCAGCUCGUGUUGUGAAAUGUUGGGUUAAGUCCCGCAACGAGCGCAACCCUUAUCCUUUGUUGCCAGCGAUUCGGUCGGGAACUCAAAGGAGACUGCCAGUGAUAAACUGGAGGAAGGUGGGGAUGACGUCAAGUCAUCAUGGCCCUUACGACCAGGGCUACACACGUGCUACAAUGGCGCAUACAAAGAGAAGCGACCUCGCGAGAGCAAGCGGACCUCAUAAAGUGCGUCGUAGUCCGGAUUGGAGUCUGCAACUCGACUCCAUGAAGUCGGAAUCGCUAGUAAUCGUGGAUCAGAAUGCCACGGUGAAUACGUUCCCGGGCCUUGUACACACCGCCCGUCACACCAUGGGAGUGGGUUGCAAAAGAAGUAGGUAGCUUAACCUUCGGGAGGGCGCUUACCACUUUGUGAUUCAUGACUGGGGUGAAGUCGUAACAAGGUAACCGUAGGGGAACCUGCGGUUGGAUCACCUCCUUACCUUAAAGAA